rnacentral:rRNA from 1 species
GAUGAACGCUGACAGAAUGCUUAACACAUGCAAGUCGACCCGAGUCUUCGGACUUGGGUGGCGCACGGGUGAGUAACGCGUAAAGAACUUGCCUCUUAGACCGGGACAACAUCUGGAAACGGAUGCUAAUACCGGAUAUUAUGGUUUUUUCGCAUGGAGGAAUCAUGAAAGCUGGAUGCGCUAAGAGAGAGCUUUGCGUCCCAUUAGCUAGUUGGUGAGGUAACGGCCCACCAAGGCAAUGAUGGGUAGCCGGCCUGAGAGGGUGAACGGCCACAAGGGGACUGAGACACGGCCCUU